GGGUGUGUCUGCCAGGUCCAUAGACAGCUUGAAACUACACUUAUCAACCUGAACAAGCUGGGGGAAAGAUUUUGGUGAUGAUUGCCUCAUGAAAUUGUUGGAUCACUUCCAUGACAUCUUAGAGAGGAAAGGGGUGGGCCUAGCUACAGCUGAAGAAGAAUGGACAGCCCUGAAACAGGCUUUGUAUAAAAGUGAUCAGGUCCAUGAGGCUAACUUGAAUUGGGCCACAAUCAACAAACUUCACACAGAGAGGUGUCCUAACAUCCUGGAGG